UACGAAGGGGGGCUAGCGUUGCUCGGAAUCACUGGGCGUAAAGCGCACGUAGGCGGAUCUUUAAGUCGGGGGGUGAAAUCCUGGAGCUCAACUCCAGAACUGCCUUCGAUACUGAGGAUCUCGAGUCCGGGAGAGGUGAGUGGAACUGCGAGUGUAGAGGUGAAAUUCGUAGAUAUUCGCAAGAACACCAGUGGCGAAGGCGGCUCACUGGCCCGGUACUGACGCUGAGGUGCGAAAGCGUGGGGGAGCAAACAGG
rnacentral:rRNA from 1 species